UUUUCAUCCAGUUGGUAGAGAAUCCAGAAAUUUUACUUUAGCAAGAGGAGAGAUACUUUAUAAUAAAACCACUCAAGUGAAAGUACAGCGUGGUAAAAAUACUCCUAGAAGUCAAUUUCUUCAAAAAAGUUACUCGAGUAAAAGUAAAAGUAAAUGUAACUGCCAGUUGCUACUGCCCAGCUCUGCUCACAUAAAGUGUGCGGUUCGGCUGAAGGCGUGUCCGCUGCCGCAGAGUCUCCGCCCUCCGGAUCCGGACCGGCUGCUCCUGGAUCUGCCGCUCAGCCUCCGCUGACUCCAACAAACUGUUUGCUGCCUCCAGUCGCAGCUGCGGGCUCGCAGGAGUGGAGCGGUGGAUUUUGCUUUAGCUGGUCGGGCAUGACUCUCUCCGGUGGACAUCCUCUCUGACCAGCACUUUGUGUUUUGGCGAACAGGAGCAUCCAGAACCACGUCGCGUCUUUACUGAGGUUUUCUGAGGAGAAGCGGGUCGCCACAGACAGACUGAGGUUCGGCUGCGCCUUGAGCCCAUGUAAACAGAAG